rnacentral:rRNA from 1 species
UACAGAGGGUGCAAGCGUUGUUCGGAAUCAUUGGGCGUAAAGGGCGUGUAGGCGGUUUGUUAAGUCAUGUGUGAAAUCCCUCGGCUCAACCGGGGAACGACGCAUGAAACUGGCAAGCUAGAGUACCAAAGAGGGGGGUGGAAUUCCCGGUGUAGCGGUGAAAUGCGCAGAUAUCAGGAGGAACACCGGUGGCGAAGGCGGGUCUCUGGGCAACAACUGACGCUGAGGAGCGAAAGCGUGGGGAGCGAACAGG